CCUACGGGAGGCAGCAGUAGGGAAUCUUCCGCAAUGGACGAAAGUCUGACGGAGCAACGCCGCGUGAGCGAUGAAGGCCUUCGGGUCGUAAAGCUCUGUUGUCAGGGAAGAACAAGUAUCGGAGUAACUGCCGGUACCUUGACGGUACCUGACCAGAAAGCCACAGCUAACUACGUGCCAGCAGCCGCGGUAAUACGUAGGUGGCAAGCGUUGUCCGGAAUUAUUGGGCGUAAAGCGCGCGCAGGCGGUUCCUUAAGUCUGAUGUGAAAGCCCCCGGCUCAACCGGGGAGGGUCAUUGGAAACUGGGGAACUUGAGUGCAGAAGAGGAGAGCGGAAUUCCACGUGUAGCGGUGAAAUGCGUAGAGAUGUGGAGGAACACCAGUGGCGAAGGCGGCUCUCUGGUCUGUAACUGACGCUGAGGCGCGAAAGCGUGGGGAGCGAACAGGAUUAGAUACCCUGGUAGUCCACGCCGUAAACGAUGAGUGCUAAGUGUUAGAGGGUUUCCGCCCUUUAGUGCUGCAGCAAACGCAUUAAGCACUCCGCCUGGGGAGUACGGCCGCAAGGCUGAAACUCAAAGGAAUUGACGG
rnacentral:rRNA from 1 species